rnacentral:rRNA from 1 species
AGAGUUUGAUUAUGGCUCAGGGUGAACGCUGGCGGCGUGCUUGACACAUGCAAGUCGAACGGUAUGUGGCAACACAUAGAGUGGCGAACGGGUGAGUAACACGUGGGAACGUACCCUACGCAGGGGGAUAACUGACCGAAAGGACAGCUAAUACCGCAUAAGACCGAAAGGUGAAAGGUGCAACUGCACCGGCGAAGGAGCGGCCCGCGGACCAUCAGCUAGUUGGUGGGGUAAGAGCCUACCAAGGCAACGACGGAUAGCCGGCGUGAGAGCGUGGCCGGCCACAAGGACACUGAGAUACGGGUCCUACUCCUACGGGAGGCAGCAGCGCGGAAUUUUAGAUAAUGGAGGCAACUCUGAUCUAGCGACGCCGCGUGCAGGAAGAAGGUCUUCGGAUUGUAAACUGCUGUGGUAAGGGAAAAAUGCCAUGUAGAGUGGAAAGCUACAUGGAGGGAUGGUACUUUACUAGAAAGCCCCGGCUAACUACGUGCCAGCAGCCGCGGUAAUACGUAGGGGGCGAGCGUUACCCGGAAUCACUGGGCGUAAAGGGAGCGUAGGUGGCCUGACAUGUCAACUGUGAAAACCCGGAGCUCAACUCCGGACUUGCAGUUGAAACUGCCAGGCUUGAGGACGGUAGAGGAAGACGGAACUGCCAGUGUAGGGGUAAAAUCCUUAGAUAUUGGCAGGAACGCCGGUGACGAAAGUGGUUUUCUGGGCCGGUUCUGACACUGAUGCUCGAAAGCCAGGGGAGCGAACGGGAUUAGAUACCCUGGUAGUC